UCCGUCCUGCUCUGUCCCUGCAGUUCAGCAAGAUGUCGGUGAAGGAAGGUGCACAGCGCAAGUGGGCAGCACUGAAGGAGAAGCUGGGGCCGCAGGAGUCCGACCCCACGGAGGCCAACCUGGAGAGCGCAGAGCCUGAGCUCUGCAUCCGGCUGCUGCAGAUGCCCUCCGUGGUCAACUACUCGGGCCUGCGCAAGCGCCUGGAGAGCAGCGAUGGCAGCUGGAUGGUGCAGUUCCUGGAGCAGAGCGGCCUGGACCUGCUGUUGGAGGCGCUGGCGCGGCUGUCGGGGCGCGGCGUGGCCCGCAUUGCGGACGCCCUGCUGCAGCUCACCUGCAUCAGCUGUGUGCGUGCAGUCAUGAACUCGCAGCAGGGCAUUGAAUACAUCCUCAGCAACCAGGGCUAUGUGCGCCAGCUCUCCCAGGCCCUGGAUACGUCCAAUGUGAUGGUCAAGAAGCAGGUGUUUGAGCUGCUGGCUGCUCUGUGCAUCUAUUCACCCGAGGGCCACGCCCUGACGCUAGAUGCCCUGGACCAUUACAAGACGGUGUGCAGCCAGCAGUACCGCUUCAGCGUCAUCAUGAAUGAGCUGUCAGACAGUGACAACGUGCCCUAUGUGGUCACCCUACUCAGCGUGAUCAACGCCAUCAUUCUGGGUCCUGAGGAUCUCCGCACUCGUGCCCAGCUGCGGAGCGAGUUCAUCGGGCUACAGCUGCUGGAUAUUCUGACUCGGCUACGAGAUCUAGAGGAUGCUGAUCUGCUGAUCCAGCUGGAAGCCUUCGAAGAGGCCAAAGCAGAGGAUGAGGAGGAACUGCAGCGUGUUUGCGACGGUAUCAACAUGAACAGCCACCAGGAAGUCUUCGCCUCCCUGUUCCACAAGGUGAGCUGUUCCCCAGCAUCAGCCCAGCUGCUGUCGGUGCUGCAGGGUCUCAUGCACCUGGAGCCUGCCGGCCGCUCAGGCCAGCUGCUCUGGGAGGCCCUGGAGAACCUGGUGAACCGGGCUGUGCUCCUGGCCAGCGACGCCCAGGCUUGCACCCUGGAGGAGGUAGUUGAGCGACUGCUGUCCAUCAAAGGGCGGCCCCGACCAAGCCCCCUGGACAAGGCCCACAAGAGUGUCCAGGCCAACCUAGGCCAGAAUCUGGACAGUUCCUCCCGAAACACUACUACUCCCACAGCUAAAGUGGAAGGCCAGCAGCUGGCAGUGGCUUCUACCUGCCAGCAUGUGGGCAGCAGCCAGAGCCCCAGUGAUGAUGUAGCUCCACAGACAACAGCCCUCCAACAGGCAGCCUCACCUCUACCUACCCCACCGCUCUCCAGCUCCACCCCUGUGCUCCCUCCACCCCCACCCCCCCUGCCAGGCCAAGGGACCAUAUCUCUCCCAGCACCCCCUCCACCCCCACCAUUGCCACCCCCCUUGCCAGGCUCAAGGACCAUAUCUCCUCUACCCCCACCACCACCUCCCCUACCGGGCUCAGAGGCCAUGUGCCCCCCAGCACCUCCACCACCUCCACCUCUGUCUGACUCCUGGAGGAUCCCGCCCCCGCCCCCGCCCCCACUCCCUGGCAUGGGUUGUCCACCUCUUCCUCCUCCCCCUCCCCCACUACCUGGAACAGGCGGGAUUCCUCCCCCACCUCCUCCCCUGCCUGGUUUCUCUGUCCCCUCCAUGGUGGGUGGUGUGGAGGAGAUCAUUGUGGCUCAGGUGGACCACGGCCUGGGCUCAGCCUGGGUCCCCAGUCACCGGAGGGUGAAUCCACCCACACUGCGUAUGAAGAAGCUGAACUGGCAGAAGCUGCCAUCCAAUGUGGCACGAGAACGCAACUCCAUGUGGGCAACACUGAGCAGCCCUUGCACAGAGGUGGUGGAACCUGACUUCUCCAGCAUUGAGCAGCUCUUCUCCUUCCCCAUGGCUAAGCCCAAGGAGCCCUCUGCUGCCCCCAUCAGGAAGGAACCCAGAGAGGUCACUUUUCUGGACUCCAAAAAGAGCCUGAACCUCAACAUCUUCCUGAAGCAAUUUAGAUGCUCCAAUGAAGAAGUCACUGCAAUGAUCCGGGCUGGAGACACAGCCAAGUUUGAUGUAGAGGUUCUCAAACAGCUCCUAAAGCUCCUUCCAGAAAAGCAUGAGAUUGAGAACCUGCGGGCAUUCACUGAGGAGCGAGCCAAACUGGCCAGUGCUGACCAGUUCUACGUUCUCCUCUUGGACAUUCCCUGCUACCAGCUACGGGUGGAGUGCAUGAUGCUGUGUGAGGGCACAGCCAUCGUACUGGACAUGGUGCGGCCCAAGGCCCAGCUGGUGCUCACCGCCUGCGAGAGCCUGCUCACCAGCCAACGGCUGCCUGUCUUCUGCCAGUUGAUCCUCAAGAUUGGGAAUUUCCUCAACUAUGGCAGCCACACAGGAGAUGCAGACGGUUUCAAGAUUAGCACGUUGCUGAAGCUCACAGAGACCAAGUCCCAGCAGAGUCGGGUGACGCUGCUGCACCAUGUGCUGGAGGAAGUAGAGAAAAGCCACCCAGACCUCCUACAGCUGCCGCAGGACUUGGAGCCGCCCUCUCAAGCUUCAGGAAUCAACCUGGAGAUCAUCCGCUCAGAAGCCAGCGCCAACCUGAAGAAGCUUCUGGAAACAGAGCGGAAGGUGUCCACCUCAAUCCCUGAGGUGAAAAAACAGUAUGCUGAGCGCCUCCAGGCCAGCAUUGAGGCCUCUCAGGCGCUAGACAAGGUGUUUGAGGCCAUUGAGCGGAAGAAGCUGGAGCUGGCCGACUACCUGUGUGAAGACGCCCAGCAGCUGUCUCUAGAGGACACGUUCAACACCAUGAAGACUUUCCGAGACCUCUUCACCCGUGCCCUGAAGGAGAACAAGGACCGGAAGGAGCAGAUGGCGAAGGCGGAGAGGAGGAAACAGCAGUUGGCAGAGGAGGAGGCACGGAGGCCGAGGGGCGAGGAUGGGAAGCCUGUCAGGAAGGGACCUGGGAAACAAGAAGAGGUGUGUGUCAUCGAUGCCCUGCUGGCCGACAUCAGGAAGGGCUUCCAGCUACGGAAGACAGCCCGGGGCCGAGGGGACGCCGAAGCGGGCAGCAGAGUGGCUCCAACAGAUCCUCCAAAGGCCACAGAGCCUGCAGCUGCCAGCCAUCCUAUACAAGGCACAAACCACCCUAUCUCAGAGCCAAGCUUGGAUACAACAGCAGCCGGCGAGCCACAGGGCUGGGACCUUGUGGACGCUAUAGCCCCCAGCCCCCAGCCCUCCAAGGAGGAAGGUGGCCCCCCAGCCCUGGAGAGGCGUUCUUCCUGGUAUGUGGAUGCCAGUGACUUCCUGGUCCCAGAAGAUACCCUGAAUGCCCAGCCCUCUGAGGGCGUCUGGCCAGUGACUCUGGGAGAUGCUCAGGCCUUGAAGCCCCUGGAGUUCUCUAGCAAUAAACCUCCUGGAAUCGAGAGCUCCCAGCAGGAUGCUGUGGAUCCUGAAGCCCUGAGGGGUGUCCACCACGCCAAGGCUGACGGCAUGAGAGAGGGAGCAGAGGAAACAGCUGAGCGCGGCCACGGCACCCACCUCCCCUGCACAGGCCCUGGAGAGGAUGAGGAUGAGGACGACACAGCCCCAGAGUCUGCACUUGACACAUCCUUGGACAGGUCCUUUUCUGAGGACACAGUGACAGAUUCCUCAGGGUCUGGCACCCUCCCCAGGGUUCGAGGCCGGGUCUCAAAGGGGACGAGCAAGCGAAGGAAGAAACGUCCCUCGAGAAACCAAGAAGGGUGGUCUGGCAUUAAGAUCCUGGGUGCAACUGCCAAUUGUCACUGUGACCAGAGAAUCUGGGCUUCGGACUGGGCUUCUGCCCCUGACCAAGAGUGUUGCCACGUGUUGCCAUGGCUAGCUUGGCCCCCACAGAUCCCAGCACCCUGAGCUCAGGGCUGCCCACCUGUGAUGAGCUGAUGAGUGUGUUUCUUUUAUUUGGAAGCAGAGUUUGUCCCUGAUUCUGAUGAUAAUAAAACAAAAAGGCUGUGUGUGAUCCAGUGAGGCCUCAGGUCCAGGCCCAAAGCUAAGUGAGUGUCCUCAGCGGCUCAGUACAGCAGCAGAUGCUGGAUGUGCUGCCUGGAGGGGCUCUUCGGGGCCAGGCUGGGACUGGGCCCCUGAGAAACCGAAACUCCGUGCCUUACCCAGCCGGGAUCCUUGGAAGCCUUGGCCGUUGAUGCUAGGACCUGACCUGGCAUCACCCUGGACCACCUGCACGCUCAUAGGCUCACAAUCUGCUUUGCAAACCUCUACCCACCCCUAUCGCAUGCACCGCAGGGGAGGGAGGGAAUCUCCUGUCUGACUCUAGGGAGAUACAAACGCCUGCAGUGGACUGCAGCAUCCCCAGCCUGUCUCGGUGGCUCAGUUGAUUUUUAGCUGAGUACUGUUUUCUGCAUCUUUCUUCUGCUGUGGCUGAAUUGGAGAUGGCGAGGGCUCCAGGGAGGCUUGCUGGCAGUGCUGUGGGAAGAUCCUGGCUGGUAGGCCCCAAGGAACAAGAAGAACUGAAUAAGGAGAGGGGACCACAACAGCUGCCCUCUCCUUCAGUGUCCGCCCAGCAAGGAGCAGGCUGCCCCUGCUCGGCUCCCCUGUCCCCACGCCAGGUGUGCACUGUUGAGUUGGAGCCCAGCGGGGAUUUUAACCAAUAAAAAGCAACCUUGUCUGUCA